GACGAACGCUGGCGGCGUGCCUAAUACAUGCAAGUCGAGCGGGGAUUAUGCUUGAUCGCUUCGGUGAGACGGCAUAUAUCCUAGCGGCGGACGGGUGAGUAACGCGUGGGUAAUCUACCUCGUAGUUCGGGAUAACAGGCCGAAAGGCUUGCUAAUACCGGAUGAGUUCAUGCUUAUGCAUAUAGGCAUGAAGAAAGGGCUAGCCCGCUAUGAGAUGAGCCCGCGUCCCAUUAGCUUGUUGGUGGGGUAAUGGCCUACCAAGGCAACGAUGGGUAGCCGGCCUGAGAGGGUGUACGGCCACACUGGGACUGAGACACGGCCCAGACUCCUACGGGGGCAGCAGUAGGGAAUUUUGGACAAUGGGCGCAAGCCUGAUCCAGCAAUGCCGCGUGCAGGAUGAAGGCCCUCGGGUUGUAAACUGCUUUUGUACGGAACGAAAAGGCUCUGGUUAAUACCUGGGGCUCAUGACGGUACCGUAAGAAUAAGCACCGGCUAACG
rnacentral:rRNA from 1 species